rnacentral:rRNA from 1 species
AUUGAACGCUGGCGGCAUGCCUUACACAUGCAAGUCGAACGGCAGCACGGGUGCUUGCACCUGCUGGCGAGUGGCGAACGGGUGAGUAAUACAUCGGAACGUACCUUAUCGUGGGGGAUAACGCAGCGAAAGCGGUGCUAAUACCGCAUACGCCUUGAGGGGGAAAGCGGGGGAUCGCAAGACCACGCGCGAUUAGAGCGGCCGAUGCCUGAUUAGCUUGUGGGUGGGGUAAAAGCACAACAGGGAGACGAUCAGUAGCUGGUCUGAGAGGACGAUCAGCCACACUGGGACUGAGACACGGCCCAGACUCCUACGGGAGGCAGCAGUGGGGAAUUUUGGACAAUGGGGGCAACCCUGAUCCAGCAAUGCCGCGUGAGUGAAGAAGGCCUUCGGGUUGUAAAGCUCUUUUGUCAGGGAAGAAGCACCGGCUCUAACACAGUCCGGGAAUGACGGUACCUGAAGAAUAAGCACCGGCUAGCGACGUGCCAGCCGCCGCAGUAA